CUCUGCUGAUCACAUCCCUGGGGGCGGUCACAUCUCUGCCCCCGCCCCACGUUAUACCUGGGUAUGUUUCUGCCCAAUAAACUUGGUCUUUUAUUUUUAUAAUUCGGCUUGAGUCAGCAGAAAGACUUAAUAUUGGGGUACGGAAACCUUUCACAAAGGUCGGGAAAGCAGUAUUGAUCUUGUGAUUAGGAAUCAGCACUUGCAGACCAAAGUGCUGCUUCAGAAGAGUGGCCCAGGUAGAGAGCCAUGAUGUUUACACGCUCCAGUACCAGAAUCACUCCUUUUAGAGCUGCAGAGGCAAAGCCCACACCAAAUGUGUAUGAAAGCAGACACUGAGGAGAAUUAAGUGCUUUGACUCUGUGAAACACUCUGAAUGAACGGAGGCAGAGGCCAUGGCUUUGGAAAAGGUCAGCAGCUGCACAGUCCCAGCUGUGUCCAGGGAGAGGUGUGAGGUGACCAGAGCCUCAGCUCCAAGCUGCUUUACUCAAAGACAGAGUCACAAGGAAACUUCUCGAAACCCUGUCUUUUCAGUUGCAAUUCUUUGCACCCAGCACCUGACACAGACUAGUCACGCAGCAGCACUAAGUGCUUGAACAGCUCGGCCGCCAACAUGACCUUCCUUAAAGCCGCCUCCUUGCCUGUUGCUCACUAUGAAAAGAUCUUGCGGGUUCCACUGGGUCACCGGAUGAGAUCCACCAGCUACAGCCGACCACCUAAAUUCCUCUGAACCAAAAGCUACAUGGGGAAGGCAGGGAAAGGCCAGCUUUUGUUUGGUGAAUCUCAGCUUCAAAAACACUAUGCUUGGGGCUGGAGAGAUGGCUCAGCGGUUAAGAGCACUGGCUGUUCUUCCAGAGGACCCAGGCACAUGGAUUAUACAUCCAGGGUAAUUCCCAGGCACUCACAACAGGAAUAACCAGACAUUCCUUUGUGGCUGUGUAGCAUGGGUGGAUUGUUGGGUCUUCCAUAAUGACAUCUGAGAACAAUCGGCAAAAGCAGGAGUACUUUAGUGGCCAGCUUUGAAGAAUGCUGGUCGACAGAGGAGUUCAACCACAGGAGACUAGGAACUACGACAAAGUUCACUGCCACUGUAAACCGUGACGCCUUGAUGCAAUGAGGAAACAGGAAGACCUUGAUGCACUCAAUUCUAAGAAGGGCAAUUCCCCAAGAAAGAAUCCAGCAAGAUGGUAAAACAAGCACACAGCACACAGAUGGUAACAAUGAAGUGAUUCAAAGAAAACUCAAUGACUACCACAGAAACAACCUACUUGUAAAACAUUACGUCAUUAGUGUUCCAUUCGUAAGUUAGUUUUCCAAGUGUUCUCUGUCCUGGUCAAACGGACUCUAAGGAGAGACCUGGCCUCCCCUGCCUUGCUCCCCACCUCCUGCUCAACAAUGCUGCUCUGGCUUUAUCCUUACCUCCUGAUGUUCCGAACCCAUGUUUGCCGGCCUCUGCUGUCUGUGCAGUAGACAGCUGCAACACUAAGCUCGGCUGCAAUUGAGAAUCAUGAAGAUGGCACUCUAUGGUCAUUUGUUUUAAUGUGCAGUCUCUGGGGUUCUAUUGGAAUACUAAUUAUAAGAUCAUUUGUUAUGACAACAAGAUUGCUUUUCACAAUGUACUGUCAAAAGCAGAUCUCCACAACCUGAAGAUCAGGAAGCCAUGCUGGGCCUCCUUUUCUAAAGGAGCACUCUGGACUCAAUGGCCUCUAAGACUCACUCUUCACUGCCCAACCGGGUGCAGAUCUUCCUCUCUGUUCACUUCAAAUCCUGUCGCCUCCCAAGAAAGCAAAUCUGUCUCCAACACCGCCAACUGUGGCCUGCUCCUGUCACCUCGCACAGCAUCCCAACCCCCACCUGUGGCCAUUGACCUUCCAUCAUCUGGCCGCUGGCCUCCUGUGCCUUUCUCUCUCUCACAUCCUCUCUCCAACCAUGCAGCUCCCUCUUGCUAUGACAGUGUUUUUUUGGUUUGGAGACUAACUGCAAUUAUGCUAUAAAUGAAGGCGCAUAGACUCCUCGGUUCAACACUGUUCCAGUAACUGGUCACUCCCUUCCCCUUGCUGUCUGCCCCUGUUUUGUGAGAUAAUGAAAACUGCUCUGGAAGCUUGUGAGGAGGAAGGGAACUGAAGACAUUAAAAAUACUCAGCACAACGCCUGAUACUUAUAAAUACUCAAUGUUAGUGCUAUUACUGUUUUAACAAUCAACAUGUUUCUUCUUUUUCAGCACAGGUUUCUAGUCCACAAUUCUAAAUGAAAUUUAAAAAAAUAUAUAGUCUGGUUUUCUAGCCAAGGCAAAUGAGAUCAUCAUGAAUUUCUCUCUCUUUUUUUAAUGAUAUACAGGG